CUUUACUUGCCGCCGGGUAAGUGUUCAGGCAUUGAUUUCGUAUCGUUAGGCCAUAGAAGAUACGAACAUCAAUGCUUUUCUUUGC
rnacentral:ncRNA from 1 species